UGAGAGGGUCAGAGAACUGCAUCCCACAGUUCCCAUGGUAAGCUGGGAGAGUCUCAAAGCCAAUAUCUCUGGGACAGAAUAAGAUUAGACAGACUAAGAGCAGAGGACACAGAGUCAAGAACCACAGAGAGAAGCAAGAAUAAUACUCUUUGCAUCCAGGCCCAGCCUGUGAAGUCCUAGGGAUAUUGAAAAUGAUGCACUGGAGGAAGAGAAUGAGCUGAGGCAGGAUCUGCUAGACCCAUAUCUACACUCCCAACACUGAGGAGACUGCAACAAGAGAAGCCAUGACUGUGAGGCCAGCCUAAGCUACACAAUGAGUUCUAAGCCAGUUUGGACUAUGUAGAGAAUUCUAGGCCAUUAUGGACGGCAGAGUAAGACAACCCCUCCUUCCAAAUAAAAGAAAGAAAAGAAAAAUGUAGACAACUCCUACUAAAAAGAAACAGAGUUCCAGAGCGAUUGCUGCAGAGCUUGAAGCACUAAGCCUGUGACCUUGGAGGAUCUGAAAACGGUGACUCCACCCAAGGUCUCCUUGUUUGAGCCAUCAGAAGCAGAGAUUGCAGACAAACAAAAGGCUACCCUCGUGUGCUUGGCCAGGGGCUUCUUCCCUGACCAUGUGGAGCUGAGCUGGUGGGUGAAUGGGAAGGAGAUCCGCAAUGGGGUCAGCACAGACCCUCAGGCCUACAAGGAAAGCAAC
rnacentral:lncRNA from 1 species